GACGAACGCUGGCGGCGUGCCUAAUAAAUGCAAGUAGAACGCAGUGGGGACGGGUGAGUAACAAGUGGGUAACCUCCCAUCAGAGGGGAUAACACUUGGAAACAGGUGCUAAACCGAUACUGAUGGAUGGACCCGCGGUGCAGUAGCUAGGUGGUGCGGUAACGGCUCACCAAGGCCACGAUGCAUAGGCGACCUGAGAGGGUGAUCGGCCCCACUGGGACGGAGACACGUCCCAGACUCCUACGGGAGGCAGCAGUAGGGAAGUUUCGGAAAGGGACGAAAGUCUGACCGAGCAACGCCGCGUGAGGUAAGAAGGUUUUCGGAUCGUAAAACUCUGUUGUUAGAGAAGCGGUAUCUAACCAGAAAGCCACGGCUAACUACGUGCCAGCAGCCGCGGUAAUAC
rnacentral:rRNA from 1 species